UCAAGAAACUUCCACAAUGGGCGAAAGCCUGAUGGAGCGACGUCGCGUGAUGGACGAAGUGCUUCGGCACGUAAACAUCUUUUAUGUGGGAUGAAAUUAUUGACAGUACCACAUGAAUAAGGGGCUCCUAACUCUGUGCCAGCAGGAGCGGUAAUACAGAGGCCCUAAGCGUUAUCCGGAAUCACUGGGCGUAAAGGGUGUCGAGGCGGUUGUAUUAGUCGUUCGUAAAAUCUACGAGCUUAACUUGUAGGCGGCGAACGAAACGGUACGACUUGAGGUUUGGAGAGGUGCGUGGAACUCACGGUGUAGGGGUGAAAUCCGUUGAUAUCGUGGGGAACACCAAAGGCGAAGGCAGCGCACUGGCCAAAAUCUGACGCUCACACACGAAAGCUAGGGUAGCGAAGAGGAUUAGAUACCCAUGUAGUCCCUGAGCGGGCUGGCAAGGCGCAU
rnacentral:rRNA from 1 species